CCUACGGUGGGCAGCAGUAGGGAAUCGUCCACAAUGGGCGCAAGCCUGAUGGAGCAACACCGCGUGAGUGAAGAAGGGUUUCGGCUCGUAAAGCUCUGUUGUUGGAGAAGAACGUGCGGGAGAGUAACUGUUCACGCAGUGACGGUAUCCAACCAGAAAGGCACGGCUAACUACGUGCCAGCAGCCGCGGUAAGACGUAGGUGGCAAGCGUUCUCCGGCUUUAUUGGGCGUAACGCGAGCGCAGGCGGUUGCUUAGGUCUGCUGUGAAAGCCUUCGGCUGAACCGAAGAAGUGCAUCGGAAUCCGGGCACCUUGAGUGCAGACGCGGUCAGUGGACCUCCAUGUGUAGCGGUGCAAUGCGUAGAUAUCU
rnacentral:rRNA from 1 species